UACAUCCUCCCAGUAGCUUUUUCGUUUCUGCGGCUGGGAGGCUUGAGCUGUCUAUCCCCAGAAACACCAGUCAGUUUCAGGCUUGUGCGCAGCGCAGUGGCGACGGACUCCGUCUGUUACGAUGCUGAAGGCUCUCCCCGCGCGCUUCCUCGUCUCGCCGGAGCCCGGGGGGCGGCGCCGGAGCCCUCGCCCACGAUCUCUACGGCCGAUUUCGGCGGCGCUGAUGACCAACCCCGCGUACUUCGAGGUCGGCAGAUUAUUGGGUAGCUAUGGCUUCAUGAACAUCACAAGCUAUUCAUCUUCUCAGUCUGGAGGGUUUCCAAACGAUGCUGUUAAUCAAGACCUUAGUCUUGGAUAUUCACCGGAAGAGAUUGAGCGAUUAAGAGUCCAAGAUGUUGGAGAAGGACAAGUGAAAAUUAGACUGUACGAGGGAAGAGUGGUGCAAGGUCCAUUGAAGGGCACACAAACUGUAUUUAAGGUAUACCCUGGAGCUAUUGCUGGUGCUUCUGAAGCUAAUUUGAUGGCACUGAAUGAGCUGAGGACUCAUGCUUUUCUUCAGAGUGAUGCAAGGGAUAUCUGUGAGAACAUUCAGUUUCUGUUAGGAGCAUUUGAGACAGCUACUGGAGAGCAGUGGCUUGCUUUCCGCGAUGAUGGGAGAUACAGUGCUGCAGACUAUGCAAAAAUAACCAGUGAAAGGCAGUUGAAGGAACGGCCUAAUUUUUGGAAUCCCUAUGAUCGUGCAUACAAAUUGGAACUGAGGAAAUAUUUUGUCCUUAGGCUGCUUAAUGGAGCUAUGUGUGGCCUUGUCCACAUGCAUAAUCAUGAUAGACUGCACCAAAGCCUUGGCCCCUCUUCUGUUGUUCUCAACACUGUUGCAGAGAAAAAUGGAUACUAUUUACUUCCACAGCUCCGUGAUUUGGCAUUUUCUGUAGAUAUCGGGUAUUCGUCUAUGGGGGUUGGAGCUUUGUCAGAUGGUCUUUGGCGUCGAGCAUCUGCUGCUGGAGCAUCAACUCCUUUGGAGAAGCGAGCUUUUGGAGUAGCUGAUGACAUAUAUGGAGCUGGGUUGCUUAUUGCAUACAUGGCAUUUAUUCCGUUUUGCAAAGCAGGCAUUAUGGAUGGCAUUUCCUUGCAGGUUCUUGAUUAUAAUUUGGAUUUAAAGGCUCUUGGAGAACACUUUCCGUCUCGACAUUUAUGCUGCAAGAGAGUAUGAAUCGCUAGAACAAAACAUCUACAUGGUAUUGCCUGGAAGAUGAUAAAUUGUCGGAAGCUGUAAACUUUCUAGAUUUAGGUGAUGGUGCCGGCUGGGAGUUGCUGCAGGCAAUGCUUAAUCCAGAUUACCGUAAAAGACCAAUUGCUGAGGCUGUACUGAACCAUAGGUUUAUUACAGGGGCUCUAUUGUAGAAGUAAUCAUCAACUAGAUGCGCUUAUAAAUUUGUACAAUAGAUGGUGGAGGCAGGUCCCAUUGUGUGAAAAAUAUGUUCAAAUCUAAAGACAUGUUGUGAUCAGGUACUUAAAUAGUGUACCUAAACUAGAGGAACAUUGUAAAUAUAUGCAUGAACAUCAUUUUUGGCAAA